AACGAACGCUGGCGGCAUGCCUAACACAUGCAAGUCGAACGAGACCUUCGGGUCUAGUGGCGCACGGGUGCGUAACGCGUGGGAACCUGCCCUUAGGUUCGGAAUAACUCCCCGAAAGGGGUGCUAAUACCGGAUAAUGUCUUCGGACCAAAGAUUUAUCGCCUUUGGAUGGGCCCGCGUUGGAUUAGCUAGUUGGUAGGGUAAAAGCCUACCAAGGCGACGAUCCAUAGCUGGUCUGAGAGGAUGAUCAGCCACACUGGGACUGAGACACGGCCCAGACCCCCACGGGGGGCAGGAGGGGGGAAAUUGGGAAAAGGGGCGAAAGCCUGACCCAGCAAGGCCGGGUGAGUGAUGAAGGCCUUGGGGUUGUAAAGCUUUUUUACCCGGGAUGAUAAGGACAGGACCGGGAGAAUAAGCCCCGGCUAACUCCGU
rnacentral:rRNA from 1 species